AACGCACAUUGCGCCCGCGAGUAUUCUCGCGGGCAUGCCUGUUCGAGCGUCAUUUCAACCAUCAAGCCCCCGGCUUGUGUUGGGGACCUGCGGCUGCCCGCAGGCCCUGAAAUCCAGUGGCGGGCUCGCUGUCGCACCGAGCGUAGUAGCACAACCUCGCAACGGGAGCCCGACGCGGCCACUGCCGUAAAACGCCCAACUUUUACCGAGUUGACCUCGAAUCAGGUAGGAAUACCCGCUGAACUUAA
rnacentral:misc_RNA from 1 species